rnacentral:rRNA from 1 species
GACGAACGCUGGCGGCGUGCCUAAUACAUGCAAGUUGAGCGAUGAAGAUUGGUGCUUGCACCAAUUUGAAGAGCAGCGAACGGGUGAGUAACGCGUGGGAAAUCUGCCUUUGAGCGGGGGACAACAUUUGGAAACGAAUGCUAAUACCGCAUAAUAACUUUAAACAUAAGUUUUAAGUUUGAAAGAUGCAAUUGCAUCACUCAAAGAUGAUCCCGCGUUGUAUUAGCUAGUUGGUGAGGUAAAGGCUCACCAAGGCGAUGAUACAUAGCCGACCUGAGAGGGUGAUCGGCCACAUUGGGACUGAGACACGGCCCAAACUCCUACGGGAGGCAGCAGUAGGGAAUCUUCGGCAAUGGACGAAAGUCUGACCGAGCAACGCCGCGUGAGUGAAGAAGGUUUUCGGAUCGUAAAACUCUGUUGGUAGAGAAGAACGUUGGUGAGAGUGGAAAGCUCAUCAAGUGACGGUAACUACCCAGAAAGGGACGGCUAACUACGU